UACGUAGGGUGCGAGCGUUGUCCGGAAUUAUUGGGCGUAAAGAGCUCGUAGGCGGUUUGUCGCGUCUGCUGUGAAAGACCGGGGCUCAACUCCGGUUCUGCAGUGGGUACGGGCAGACUAGAGUGUGGUAGGGGAGACUGGAAUUCCUGGUGUAGCGGUGAAAUGCGCAGAUAUCAGGAGGAACACCGAUGGCGAAGGCAGGUCUCUGGGCCACUACUGACGCUGAGAAGCGAAAGCAUGGGGAGCGAACAGG
rnacentral:rRNA from 1 species